GAGACACACGCAUUUUGAAGUUCAAGUUGUGUCGGAAAACAAAAUUGGAUCUCCGGGAUUAUAACAGCUUGCUCCGGCCUCCUCCAGCAUGCAUCUUUUUGCGAAAUACAUUCUCAUCCUCCAAAUUAUUAUCCUUUUUGUGACAACCUGCCAGACUCUGUUAUGCAUUCCUUGUCAUAAAGUGACAUGCAAGGAUCCAGAGGAUUGCAAAGGGGGGCUGGUGCGUAGUAUUUGCGGGUGCUGCAAUGUUUGCGCCAAGGUGAAGGGAGAGGACUGUGGCGGCCAAUUGGAUCUGCGCGGGAUAUGCGACCAGGGGCUCAAGUGCGUGUACCCGCCCUUCCACUCGUUUAGAGUGGACGUGUUUGGAGUUUGCCAAGUAUCAGACUAGUUGAAGAAGAGAAUGAAAGUCCUUACAUGGAUUCAAGAGGAGCCCAUCCAUGGUCUACCCAACAUGUGAUUGGUGUGAAAGGAAAAUCUCUACACUCUACAGAGUGCCUAUCAGAAUGCUAUGCUUAGUCCAUGUAUAGCCUACCAUGGUACCAAUUACAUGUGUGAAAUGCAAUGCAAUAUAACGUGCUUGAUAGUGAACCAGCAUUAAUAAAUGAAUACAUUUGUAACCAAA